UGAGGAAUCUGUCCAUCGGCGGGGGAUAGCCGGCCCAACGGCCGGGUAAUACCGCGUACGACCUUUCGGGGACAUCCCCGGAUGGUGAAAGCAGCAAUGCGCCGAUGGAGUGCCUCGCGGCCUAUCAGCUAGUUGGUGGGGUAACGGCUCACCAAGGCAACGAUGGGUAGCUGGUCUGAGAGGAUGGCCAGCCACAUUGGGACUGAGACACGGCCCAGACUCCGUACGGGAGCAG
rnacentral:rRNA from 1 species